rnacentral:lncRNA from 1 species
AUGGGAAGGUCCCGUUCAGUUCCUCUUGUCACUCAACGUUGCACAGUCAGUGGAAGAUUAGUGGACAUGCAAAGCCAAGACAGUGUUAGAGUGGGAAGAGAGAUCUCCAUUCCAUUGCCAAUACCACCAGUGAUGCCAGAAGUCCAUCAGUUUUCAAACCCCAAAUCUGGGAAUGAUCUUCGAUUCCUCCAUUUUCUUCUUGCUCUAAUAUCCAACCCUUCAGUCAGUUCCAUCAUUUUCCCAAACUCGUUCUUCAAAUCCAUCCCCAACCUUUAUGUCCCAGCUUAGCCUCUGACUUCAACAUCACCACCUCCCUUUCACUCAUUGACCACAGCAGCCUCCUGCCCGUUAUCCCCGCUCUUUCUCCUGUCCUCCCCAAGUCACCCUCCACUCUGCAGUCAGAACAAACUUUUGCAUCAUAUAUUGUUGAUGUCAAUCUCCUAUGUGAAAUCCUCCCAAGACUUUCCAAGGCAUCUUAACAGAGUAUAGAGCCAUGUUUUGCCUCCUGCCUUAUAUCACCAAUGCAAUCUGUUCCUCUCUCCUCUUCACUGAUCAUGCCCUUCACCUUCAUUUAGUUGCUCACUUGCCUCAAGCUCUUCUGCCCUCCUUGGGGUGUCAUUGUAGCAUAUCUGCUCUGCUUGGAACCAUCUUUCCCUCCCACUUCUCUUUCCACUAAAGCUUUCAUCCCACCUUUCAAAGAGACUGGCCCCGAUCAGCAUACAGGAGCUCAGUAUCUAUCUCACCACUUGUGUGCUUCUUGAAAACACUGAUUAUUAUUUGUAACCAUUCAUUCAUUUGCUUCUUCCCUUUCAGGUUUAUUUUGCUUCUAUGGACUCCUUAAGAGCCAGGAGGGAUCUUGCCAGUUUUUUUGUUUGUUUGUUUGUAUUUUUCUGUUUGUUUGUGUGCGUGUGUUUUUCACUGAGGUGUCUCCAGAGUCUGAAGGAGGGCCUAGCAUUCAGAAAUCCCACAAUAAGUAUUUGUUGAAUGGCCAGGAGAGAUCAUGAUUAUUUCUACUGAUAAUUUUUCAUUGUCGUAUACAAAUGAACUUUGAUGGGGGUUACCAAAAAGCUGUUGAAUCUUUCUCGCUUAAGGACCUCUAGUGCCCUAUUACACAAUAUGGUAGCCACCAGCUGCAUGCAAUUUCUAUGUUACAGGACAUGUACGACAUCACAAAAAAAGACAUUAGACAGUGCUCAUCUAGCAUUAGCUUGAGCCGAGUCAACCUCUUUCAGAGGAACUGACAUGAUGAACUGACUCCUCAGUUGCUUCCUAGUUCUAACAAGAACUAGUUAUCACCUGAGGUCUUACAAAGCUAUCCUCAAACAUGAAACUAUUUCAUUUAUAAUCCUUAGUCAGCUUGGUUUACCAAGUAUGAAAAAUGUGAUUGACAAUGGAGAGCAAGCCUCUUGCUGAGAAAUAUGAAAACCAGGAAGAACUCCCGCUACUCCAUUCAAAGGGUUUCUUUUCACUUCAGCUACAAAAGCCCUGUGGAAAAUGCUAGUCUUUUAUUACUAGACUAUUGUUUAAUAUUUAUCCAGCACCAAAAACUCUGCUGAGAGCAUGAACUGGAGCUCCUGCUGCUCUCUGCCUUUUGGGACUUACGUUUAAUUAGAUAGAUGUGGAAAAAUACCCAAGUGUGGUUCCCAAUCAUAUUUAUGAAUAAUGAGCUGGAUUGCUCCUUCUGGCGGGAUGUCACACUGACAGAGAUGCCAUGUGAGGCGCCUCUUCCUGGGCUGGGCUGUGAACCUUGUCCCUGUGCUCUGUGGUGCUAUACCAGGAUAUAAGCGCUGCUUGUAAUACAACUGUCUCCACCUUGCACUCAAUUUGGGCUCUUGACUCUUGCUGAAUUCCUCUUUUAUCUUGGGAUUGUGUCUCCUCUGAUUCAGUUUUCCUUUUUUUUUUCUCCUGGANNNNNNNNNNNNNNNNNNNNNNNNNNNNNNNNNNNNNNNNNNNNNNNNNNNNNNNNNNNNNNNNNNNNNNNNNNNNNNNNNNNNNNNNNNNNNNNNNNNCUGUUACUGCCUCUUUGCCCCGCCAUGAGGAUGGGUCCCAUCCAGUUUCAUUGUGUUCCUUUCUCCCUUGAGCUGAGGCGUCUGUCUCCUUGCAUAUACUGACUCAUGUCUAGAUGCCAGCUGGCCAACCUUGAGAGAAACUGGUCGUAUCUUUGCCAGACAGUGAAGGGUGCUGUUGUAACCAGGAGGAACAGAAUCCUUGGUUCAGCCAAUGCCCCCACUUUAUUAUCCUUCUGGGAAGUUUCAAAACUUCUUUCAGUACCUGGCUCUA